GACGAACGCUGGCGGCGUGCUUAACACAUGCAAGUCGAACGAUGAACUCUAGCUUGCUGGGGGGAUUAGUGGCGAACGGGUGAGUAACACGUGAGUAACCUGCCCUUGACUCUGGGAUAAGCGCUGGAAACGGCGUCUAAUACCGGAUAUGACCUUCAGCCGCAUGGCUUGUUGGUGGAAAGAAUUUCGGUCAAGGAUGGACUCGCGGCCUAUCAGGUAGUUGGUGAGGUAAUGGCUCACCAAGCCUACGACGGGUAGCCGGCCUGAGAGGGUGACCGGCCACACUGGGACUGAGACACGGCCCAGACUCCUACGGGAGGCAGCAGUGGGGAAUAUUGCACAAUGGGCGCAAGCCUGAUGCAGCAACGCCGCGUGAGGGAUGACGGCCUUCGGGUUGUAAACCUCUUUUAGUAGGGAAGAAGCGAAAGUGACGGUACCUGCAGAAAAAGCACCGGCUAACUACGUGCCAGCAGCCGCGGUAAUACGUAGGGUGCAAGCGUUGUCCGGAAUUAUUGGGCGUAAAGAGCUCGUAGGCGGUUUGUCGCGUCUGCUGUGAAAUCUGGGGGCUCAACCCCCAGCCUGCAGUGGGUACGGGCAGACUAGAGUGCGGUAGGGGAGAUUGGAAUUCCUGGUGUAGCGGUGGAAUGCGCAGAUAUCAGGAGGAACACCGAUGGCGAAGGCAGAUCUCUGGGCCGUUACUGACGCUGAGGAGCGAAAGCGUGGGGAGCGAACAGGAUUAGAUACCCUGGUAGUCCACGCCGUAAACGUUGGGAACUAGAUGUGGGGGCCAUUCCACGGUCUCCGUGUCGCAGCUAACGCAUUAAGUUCCCCGCCUGGGGAGUACGGCCGCAAGGCUAAAACUCAAAGGAAUUGACGGGGGCCCGCACAAGCGGCGGAGCAUGCGGAUUAAUUCGAUGCAACGCGAAGAACCUUACCAAGGCUUGACAUAUACCGGAAACGUCCAGAGAUGGUCGCCCCGCAAGGUCGGUAUACAGGUGGUGCAUGGUUGUCGUCAGCUCGUGUCGUGAGAUGUUGGGUUAAGUCCCGCAACGAGCGCAACCCUCGUUCUAUGUUGCCAGCACGUUAUGGUGGGAACUCAUAGGAGACUGCCGGGGUCAACUCGGAGGAAGGUGGGGAUGACGUCAAAUCAUCAUGCCCCUUAUGUCUUGGGCUUCACGCAUGCUACAAUGGCCGGUACAAAGGGCUGCGAUACCGUAAGGUGGAGCGAAUCCCAAAAAGCCGGUCUCAGUUCGGAUUGAGGUCUGCAACUCGACCUCAUGAAGUCGGAGUCGCUAGUAAUCGCAGAUCAGCAACGCUGCGGUGAAUACGUUCCCGGGCCUUGUACACACCGCCCGUCAAGUCAUGAAAGUCGGUAACACCCGAAGCCAGUGGCCCAACCGUAAGGGGGGAGCUGUCGAAGGUGGGAUCGGUGAUUAGGACUAAGUCGU
rnacentral:rRNA from 1 species